UAGGUAACCUGCCUCUAAGAUCGGGAUAACCUGUCGAAAGACGAGCUAAUACCAAAUGAGACUACAGCUUCUUCGGAAGCAAGGGUCAAAGGUAGCCUCUACUUGUAAGCUAUCACUUAGAGAUGGGCCUGCGUACCAUUAGCUAGUUGGUGGGGUAACGGCCCACCAAGGCAAAGAUGGUUAGCUGGUCUGAGAGGAUGAUCAGCCACACUGGAACUGAGACAGGCCCAG
rnacentral:rRNA from 1 species